UCUACGGGAGGCAGCAGUGGGGAAUUUUGGACAAUGGGCGAAAGCCUGAUCCAGCCAUGCCGCGUGCAGGAUGAAGGCCUUCGGGUUGUAAACUGCUUUUGUACGGAACGAAAAGACUCCCUCUAAUACAGGGGGUCCAUGACGGUACCGUAAGAAUAAGCACCGGCUAACUACGUGCCAGCAGCCGCGGUAAU
rnacentral:rRNA from 1 species